AGCAUACAGGCAGACGGCUCAGUAACGCGUAGUCAACCUACCCUAUGGACGGGGAUAACCUCGGGAAACUGAGAAUAAUACCCGAUAGAACAUUAUGCCUGGAAUGGUUUAUGUUUCAAAUAAUUUAUUGCCGUAGGAUGGGACUGCGGCCUAUCAGUUUGUUGGUGAGGUAAUGGCCCACCAAGACUAUUACAGGUACGGGCUCUGAGAGGAGUAGCCCGGAGAUGGGUACUGAGACACGGACCCAGGCCCUAUGGGGCGCAGCAGGCGAGAAAACUUUGCAAUGUGCGAAAGCACGACAAGGUUAAUCCGAGUGGUUUCUGCUAAAGGAACCUUUUGUCAGUCCUAGAAACACUGAUGAAUAAGGGGUGGGCAAGUUCUGGUGUCAGCCGCCGCGGUAAAACCAGCACCUCAAGUGGUCAGGAUGAUUAUUGGGCCUAAAGCAUCCGUAGCCUGCUUUGUUAGUUUUCGGUUAAAUCCAUACGCUUAACGUAUGGGCUGCCGGGAAUACUGCAAAGCUAGGGAGUGGGAGAGGUAGACGGUACUCGGUAGGAAGGGGUAAAAUCCUUUGAUCUAUUGAUGACCACCUGUGGCGAAGGCGGUCUACCAGAACACGUCCGACGGUGAGGGAUGAAAGCUGGGGGAGCAAACCGGAUUAGAUACCCGGGUAGUCCCAGCUGUAAACUAUGCAAACUCAGUGAUGCAUUGGCUUGAUGCCAAUGCAGUGCUGCAGGGAAGCCGUUAAGUUUGCCGCCUGGGAAGUACGUACGCAAGUAUGAAACUUAAAGGAAUUGGCGGGGGAGCACCACAAGGGGUGAAGCCUGCGGUUCAAUUGGAGUCAACGCCGGG
rnacentral:rRNA from 1 species